UAGAAACUUGACUUUAAAAUGCAAUAUAUGGAAUAAUACAGAGAAGAUUAGCUUGGCAUCUGUGCAAAGAUGACAACCAAAUAGUGAAGCAUUCCAUAUUUUG